rnacentral:ncRNA from 1 species
AUAAAGUUUAAUUCUGGUUUAAAGAUUUAUUUAAUUUUUUUUUUACAUGUAAAUUUUUGUAGGAUGUUAGUUAAAUUUUAAAAAUUUAAUUAAAGUAAUUUAUUCGCAGUAUUUAAUUUUAAUAAUUUAAGAAAUUAAGAAUUAGAAAUAAAUUUUAAUAUUAACAAAUUUUGUGCCAGCAGUUGCGGUUAUACAAAAGAUAUAAAUGAAUUUUAUUAGUAAAUAAUUAUAUGAAAUUGUUGAUAAAUUAAAAUAGUAUUUAUUAGGUGAAAUUUUAAGUAUUAAAUUAAUUUAUAAAAAAGUUUUUAUUAUUAUGAAAUUUAUAUUUAAACUAGGAUUAGAUACCCUAUUAUUUUAAAUGUAAAAAGUUUUACUUAAGUAGUAUUAGUUAUGUUCUUGAAAUUUAAAGAUUUUGGCGGUAUUUUAGUCUAUUUAGAGGAACCUGUUCUGUAAUUGAUAAUCCACGAUUAACUUUACUUAUUUUAUAAAUUUGUAUACCGUCGUUAUUAGAAAAUUUUAGCAGAAAAUAAAUUUUUAAUAUUUUAAAUUAAAAAAUAUAUCAGAUCAAGGUGCAGUAUAUAUCUAAGAAGAAAUGGGUUACAAUAAAUUUAUUUAUACGGAUUAAAGUAAGAAUAAACUUUAUGAAGGUGGAUUUAAUAGUAAUAAAAUUUAAUUAAAUUUUAUGAUUUUAGCUCUAAAAUAUGUACAUAUCGCCCGUCGCUCUUAUUAUAAGGUAAGAUAAGUCGUAACAUAGUAGAUGUACUGGAAAGUGUAUCUAGAAUGAA